rnacentral:rRNA from 1 species
AUUGAACGCUGGCGGCAGGCCUGACACAUGCAAGUCGAGCGGAGCGGCGGACGGGUGAGUAAUGUCUGGGAAUCUGCCUGGUAGUGGGGGAUAACGUCCGGAAACGGGCGCUAAUACCGCAUACUAUCAGAUGAGACUAGGUCGGAUGAGCUAGUUGGUGGGGUAAAGGCCUACAAAGUCGACGAUCCGUAACUGGUCUGAGAGUAUGAUCAGUCACACUGGAACUGAGACACGGUCCAGACUCCUACGGUAGGCAGCAGUGGGGAAUAUUGGACAAUGGGCGAAAGCCUGAUCCAGCCAUGCCGCGUGUGUGAAGAAGGUCUUCGGAUGGUAAAGCACUUUAAGUUGGGAGGCGUUACCAACAGAAUAAGCACCGGCUAACUUCGUGCCAGCAGCCGCGGUAAUUC